CGGACGGGUGAGUAACGCGUUAGCAACCUGCCCCAAAAGUGGGGGAAUAACUAACCGAAAGGUUAGCUAAUACCGCAUGUGAUAUCUGGUUCUUGGACCGGUUAUGAAAGGCUUCGGCCGCUUUUGGAGGGGCUUGCGUCAGAUUAGCUAGUUGGUGGGGUAAUUGCCUACCAAGGCGACGAUCUGUAGCUGGUCUGAGAGGACGAUCAGCCACACGGGGACUGAGAUACGGCCCCCG
rnacentral:rRNA from 1 species